CCGGGGCCGAUGCACGCCGGUGCUCCUUCGGGAGCUUAAAACGGGAAUGCGGUGCGGGGACCUGUCCCCAAGACCGCGGCUGUCCCUGCAACUGUGAGCGGUGAGCGCGACUGCACGUCGGUCCCCGAACAGGGAUCGACAGCCACUGGGGUUUCCCGGGAAGGCGUCAGACCCGCGCGACGACCCGCGAGCCAGGAGACCUGCCGGCGCGUGGUCGCUUCU
rnacentral:ncRNA from 2 species